GUGGGGAAUCUUAGACAAUGGGGGCAACCCUGAUCUAGCCAUGCCGCGUGAGUGAUGAAGGCCUUAGGGUUGUAAAGCUCUUUCAGUGGGGAAGAUAAUGACGGUACCCACAGAAGAAGCCCCGGCUAACUCCGUGCCAGCAGCCGCGGUAAUACGGAGGGGGCUAGCGUUGUUCGGAAUUACUGGGCGUAAAGCGCACGUAGGCGGAUCGGAAAGUUGGGGGUGAAAUCCCAGGGCUCAACCCUGGAACUGCCUUCAAAACUAUCGGUCUGGAGUCCGAGAGAGGUGAGUGGAAUUCCGAGUGUAGAGGUGAAAUUCGUAGAUAUUCGGAGGAACACCAGUGGCGAAGGCGGCUCACUGGCUCGGUACUGACGCUGAGGUGCGAAAGCGUGGGGAGCAAACAGGAUUAGAUACCCGAGUAGUCC
rnacentral:rRNA from 1 species